GGUGGAUAGUGUUAUCCCGCUUUCAUACAACCGACCCCUGUUAGUUAUUUACUUAUUUGAUUACUUGUACUAAGUCGAGAAAUAUUCUGUGACACCUUUCUUAUACUACUAACCCUAUAAGAGUGUAAGCCUGGCUAAUUAAAUCUCACCCACCAAAGAAUGUUUGGAAUAUAGUUAAACUUGCAGUAGUCUGCGCACAGAAGACUGUCCCUUCUCCCCGGUGGUGGUAGUCAUCCCAUGAACCAGGGGGGGGGGGAGCGGGAUGCAGUCUGCGAGCAGACUAAACUUGUAGUUGCUCAAAGGAAUUUGUAUUUUUCAGGAUGCGCUUUCUUGUAAAUUUGCCGCAAUCUUUAACUAUCUUUUAAUUCUAAUGAUUUCAGUGACUCUGUUACCCACAUAGUGACGAAAUUUGAAACAAGGGAUAAAGUUUACCAAUAUUUGAAGAGGUAUGUUCUUGUAUAGAAACUGGCAACAGUUACAUGCAUGACUCAUUUGAAGUCAAACUGAUCAAAUGCCCAAGCAUGUAUAAGUGUCGGAAUUUGUUAACUUGGAUUACGAUAAAAAUCCUUUUACACGUCUAAUUGAAUUGUUAGUUUAUUAUAAGUCAAUCUUUAAGGAAAACAGAAAUUUUAACUCAGACAUGCAGUAUAGCAGAAGAAGAAAUUUACAUAAUCUAGAUUUUUUAAAUAAGAAGUAAUGAUUGACCGAUUGUGGAACAAUCUGAAAUUACCGAUUAUUCAUGCCACAACCUACCCGAUGCCGAUUUUAUAAUGACGUCAUAAUAUCAGUCCAUCGAGUAAAGGUGACGUCAUUCAUGUCGAUUUUUAACGAUAAUUUCCAACGUAACAUGUUACUGCACCCAAAGAUCGUUAUUUAAAACCGUUAAUAAAUGGCACGCUUCACGCAUUAGUUCAACUGUUGCGUUAAAACGCAACGUGUGUCAACGUGCAAUGCAUAUAAUUUUUAAAGUGCGUAUUUUCUCAACAAUGUGUUUUAGACAAUCGGAAAUAUAGAUCAUUCUACCGAUUCCGAUUGUCUACCGAUAAGGCAAAAAUUGGCGAUACCGAUUAUCGGUAAAUCACUAAUAAGAAGUUUUAGUUAUGUCUUCACUAGCUAUUAUAUGUAAAAUAUAAAUGCAUGGAAGCACUUAUUAUUUCUUAUAGUUUUUAUGGACCUGUAUACGACUCCAUACAGAUAUUGUAAUUAAAUUAUAGCUCAAGCAUCAUUUGUAUGUCUAGAAACGUUUUAACGAUUCUGUUGUAGAGUGUCAUUGGAGACAGUGGAAAUUGUAAAUGACGCAUGUAUGUAUAACUUAGCAACUGUUAUACCAUUUGCACUCAGUGCCAUUAAGGACUUCCAGUGAGCUCCAUAAAGUCGAGUCCAGAAAGUGAAGCCAUCUUCAUGUUAACCGCGCAGUCAAAAACAAUAGAAAGGGACUGGAACUGACGUCAAUAGCUCCUUCAAUUUCCGCCAUCUUAGCAAGGAGUAUGCUGAAAUUUCGUAUUUUGACAUCGAUUUAAUUAAAGAAUAACACUAUGGUUUUAUGAACUAAUAACUUGGUUAGCGAUACGGUCUGUUAGAAAAAACUGGAAUUAGCUGAGACGACCUUCAUAGUCAUAGGCCGAAUGACUGAUCUUGAAAAAUAUGCCUGGCUAAGGUGGAAAUCGAACCUACGACCUUUGGAAUACUAGCCCAAUGCUCUGCCAACUGAGCUACGCGGCCACGCCGGUCAGGACAGUUCGAGUAUGUGAUAUUUUGGAACUGAGUCUAGUUCCUUCGACAUCAAAGUAAUCUAAUAAUCAUGAUUUUUGUGUUCAUGGUGUUGUGUACUUAGGUGAGUACCGCGUAGCUCAGUUGGCAGAGCAUUGGGCUAGUAUUCCAAAGGCCGUAGGUUCGAUUCCCACCGUGGCCAGGCAUAUUUUCCAAGCUUGCCCGGUGUGGAUGCACACUCAGAGUAACGUCACAAACAUGAUUCACCUGAGUGCACAACACCAACACAAAAAAAUGACAAUAAAGUCAUUAAAAAUUUGCAAAGCAUGACCUGUUCCUAUGGCUAACUUCGCUACUGGAAACUAGCUGUUACUAUAGUGAACACGUUUCUGGAUUCAGAAAAUGCUACAAUAUUGUGUUAGACUAGAGAACAACAGAAAGCAAACAUUUUCGGGUGGGAUACCAUGCAUGUAAAGAAACCUGCCCACAUAAUUGUCUCGAUCCUUCAGCAUUUCGUCAUUUCCACUCAGUUCAUGUCAACUGGCCCCUGUUGUGGUUUUGACUUUGACUAUUUAAUAUAUAUGUUUCCUCCACUAUAUAUAUAUAUUAAAUUCGAUUUAACAAAAGAAACAUUUUCAUUCUGCUAAUAACUGUCCGUCAAUUCGUUUAUUAGGGCUAACUGCUUGCCUGACGCAAUGUCGGUUGCUUGAUGUGGUAGACAAACAUAGGAUUGAACCUCAUUUACUAUGCAAGAUUUCGGAUGACAUCGAAAGG